rnacentral:rRNA from 1 species
GAUGAACGCUGGCGGCGUGCUUAACACAUGCAAGUCGAACGAUGAAGCCCAGCUUGCUGGGUGGAUUAGUGGCGAACGGGUGAGUAACACGUGAGUAACCUGCCCUUGACUCUGGGAUAAGCCUGGGAAACUGGGUCUAAUACUGGAUAUGACUUCUCAUCGCAUGGUGGGGGGUGGAAAGAUUUAUUGGUCUUGGAUGGACUCGCGGCCUAUCAGCUUGUUGGUGAGGUAAGGGCUCACCAAGGCGACGACGGGUAGCCGGCCUGAGAGGGUGACCGGCCACACUGGGACUGAGACACGGCCCAGACUCCUACGGGAGGCAGCAGUGGGGAAUAUUGCACAAUGGGCGCAAGCCUGAUGCAGCGACGCCGCGUGAGGGAUGACGGCCUUCGGGUUGUAAACCUCUUUCAGUAGGGAAGAAGCGAGAGUGACGGUACCUGCAGAAGAAGCGCCGGCUAACUACGUG